rnacentral:rRNA from 1 species
GACGAACGCUGGCGGCGUGCCUAAUACAUGCAAGUCGAGCGGAUGACGGAGGAGCUUGCUCCUCCUGAUUCAGCGGCGGACGGGUGAGUAACACGUGGGCAACCUGCCCUGUAGAUUGGGAUAACUCCGGGAAACCGGGGCUAAUACCGAAUAAUCCUUCGGACCUCAUGGUCCGAUGUUGAAAGACGGUUUCGGCUGUCACUACAGGAUGGGCCCGCGGCGCAUUAGCUAGUUGGUGAGGUGACGGCUCACCAAGGCCACGAUGCGUAGCCGACCUGAGAGGGUGAUCGGCCACACUGGGACUGAGACACGGCCCAGACUCCUACGGGAGGCAGCAGUAGGGAAUCUUCCACAAUGGACGAAAGUCUGAUGGAGCAACGCCGCGUGAGUGAAGAAGGUUCUCGGAUCGUAAAACUCUGUUGUGAGGGAAGAACAAGUACCGGAGUAACUGCCGGUGCCUUGACGGUACCUCAUUAGAAAGCCACGGCUAACUACGUGCCAGCCGCCGCGGUAA